UGUUAAAAGUUUCAUCAGUUUCUACCAUUAAAAACACAUGUAGUUGACAGAAUAACCAAACAGCCACGUAUACCUCAUGCUGGCACACAAGGACCAGUUUUUAAUAGUAGAAAUGAAUGGAAUUUUUAACA
rfam:Gossypium arboreum cultivar AKA8401 contig_542_3, whole genome shotgun sequence.